rnacentral:rRNA from 1 species
UUCCCUUAAAGUUUGAUCAUGGCUCAAAAAGAACGUUGGCGGCGUGGAUUAGGCAUGCAAGUCGAGCGAGAACCCGCAGGGGGGACAGCGGCGAACGGGGUAGGAAUACGUAGGUAACGUACCCUCGGGGCGAGGACAGCCACGGGAAACUGUGGGUAAUACUCGAUAAACUUCCCAAUCAUUAUGGAAGGGGAAGCAAUGGGUGUGAUUCCACCUGAGGAGCGGCUUACGCAGUAUCAGCUAGUUGGUGAGGUAACGGCUCACCAAGGCUACGACGCUUAGGGGGUGUGAGAGCAUGGCCCCCACCACUGGCACUGAGACACUGGCCAGACACCUACGGGUGGCUGCAGUCAAGAAUCUUCGGCAAUGGACGCAAGUCUGACCGAGCGACGCCGCGUGUGGGAUGAAGGCCUUCGGGUUGUAAACCACUGUCAGAGGGGAUGAAGUAUACGAGAGUUAUCUCUUGUAUUUGACAGAGCCUCAGAGGAAGCACGGGCUAAGUUCGUGCCAGCAGCCGCGGUAAUACGAACUGUGCGAACGUUAUUCGGAAUCACUGGGCUUAGAGGGUGCGUAGGCGGUUAUCUAAGUCAGGUGUGAAAUCUCUCGGCUCAACCGGGAAACUGCGCUUGAAACUGGAUGACUGGAGGGAUGCAGGGGGUGUGUGGAACUUCCGGGUGGAGCGGUGAAAUGUGUAUAUAUCGGGAAGGAACGCCAGCAGCGAAAGCGGCACACUGGGCAUCUACUGACGCUGAGGCACGAAAGCUAGGGGGAGUGAACGGUAUUAGAUACCCCGGUAAUCCUAGCCAGUAACACUGAACACUGAGAGAGGACGCCUUCUGUCCUUUCUUUCCCGUACGAAAGUCGUUAAGUCGCUCCGCCUGGGAGGGAGUAUGGGUCGCAAGGCUGAAACUUCAAAGGGUAUCGACGCGUACUCACUAGCGAUGCAAGCAUGUGACUUACUUGCGGAGGCCCAACGCCCGGAGCGC